AAGCUUGGUUGGUAGAUCAUGGGACUCUUAAUCUCAGGAUUGUGGGUUCGAUCCCCACAUUG
rnacentral:tRNA from 1 species